rnacentral:rRNA from 1 species
AGUGAACGCUGGCGGUAGGCCUAACACAUGCAAGUCGAACGGCAGCACAGUAAGAGCUUGCUCUUACGGGUGGCGAGUGGCGGACGGGUGAGGAAUACAUCGGAAUCUACUUUUUCGUGGGGGAUAACGUAGGGAAACUUACGCUAAUACCGCAUACGACCUACGGGUGAAAGCAGGGGAUCUUCGGACCUUGCGCGAUUGAAUGAGCCGAUGUCGGAUUAGCUAGUUGGCGGGGUAAAGGCCCACCAAGGCGACGAUCCGUAGCUGGUCUGAGAGGAUGAUCAGCCAAACUGGAACUGAGACACGGUCCAGACUCCUACGGGAGGCAGCAGUGGGGAAUAUUGGACAAUGGGCGAAAGCCUGAUCCAGCCAUACCGCGUGGGUGAAGAAGGCCUUCGGGUUGUAAAGCCCUUUUGUUGGGAAAGAAAAGCAGCAGGUUAAUACCCCGCUGUUCUGACGGUACCCAAAGAAUAAGCACCGGCUAACUUCGUG